GCUAUGAUUUUUCACUUGCUUUUUUACUCCAAGUGAAAAAGACUAGAUGGAGAGUAUAAAAGAGGGGAAGCAGAAAUAGAAAUUAUAAGGUUGGAUUGAAAAGAAGAAUGUGUCCAGGAAUUGAUUGCAGUUGCAGACCUUUGGCCUUUUUGUUAGGCCUCCCUUUUGCUCUCAUUUCCCUGCUUAUCACCAUAGUCGGCGUCUUCAUCUGGAUUAUCGGGUCGACGUGUCCAUGUUGCAUAUGUGUGACAGUGUUGGUUGAAUUUGGGCUGGCGUUGAUUAAGGCUCCUAUUCGUGUCAUGAAGUGGUUUGCUGAUAAGAUCCCUUUUUGACAGACUCUUUCCAUCACUUUGCUCUACUUUUAUACUUUGAGAAAGGGUUAAAUUUGUUGUUGUAUGUAUUGUUCGGAAUUGAAUAACUUUUGCCCUCUUUUACACUUUUGAUUUAAUAUUACUUCGUUAUUAGGAUAGAGUCUUAUUUUUACUCUUGAUCUCUAAUGAGCUGUAACAUGAGGGUAAUUUUGUAUCAUUGUCGAAAGUCGACAAAUUCGAACUCAUGGGAUCUGCUUGUUUCAUAUUGGAACUCUAUCAAUGACAAGGAAAAAUAUGAAUAAAAAAAAUUGAUGAAGACAA